AAACCAAGUGAGUCUUGGAAAAGUGAGUCAAGAAAAAUUGUUGGGAGAAUUGCAUUGCUGAAGAUGAUAUCCGAAUCUUAAAGUUGGUACGAGUAAACAAGGGCUUUAUUUCCUGGAGAAGAAAACAGACAC